rnacentral:rRNA from 1 species
AAGGUGGGGCAGAUGAUUGGGGUGAAGUCGUAACAAGGUAGCCGUAUCGGAAGGUGCGGCUGGAUCACCUCCUUUCUAAGGAA